UACGUAGGGUGCAAGCGUUGUCCGGAAUUAUUGGGCGUAAAGAGCUCGUAGGUGGCCUGUCGCGUCGGCUGUGAAAACUCGGGGCUCAACUCCGAGCUUGCAGUCGAUACGGGCAGGCUAGAGUUCGGCAGGGGAGACUGGAAUUCCUGGUGUAGCGGUGAAAUGCGCAGAUAUCAGGAGGAACACCGGUGGCGAAGGCGGGUCUCUGGGCCGAUACUGACACUGAGGAGCGAAAGUGUGGGGAGCGAACAGG
rnacentral:rRNA from 1 species